GCCAAUUAAGGUGGCAGUAGGCCCACAUUCCAUUGAAAUGAUUUGGGUUUGGUGACGAAUCCCAACAUAAUUAUGGACUCGUCUACCUAUUUUGCAUACAAUGAAUCCACAAACCAUGUGCUGGGAUUUUUCUUCCUUAUAAAGAAAGUAGAAAUAUCUGCAUCUAUCUAGGAAAGGAAAGCUGGGAAAGUUUCUUACCUUCAACCGAUUCGAGUUGUUUCUUUGAUCUUCGCCUCUGUGCUCCGUAACCAAACGGCAUCGUUUAUGUGAACCUUCUGGUUAUUCUGAGGCAAUUAAGUGGAAAAAAAAAAGGAAAUAUAGAUGGAGAUAUGAUGAUGUCUAAGGAUGCUUGGAGGACAAUUGAUAGUGAGAUUCGCAAGAUUGUCCCCUCAAAAAGGCUUUGGAUUAUGAAUGACCAACCAUAGAUUGAUCAAACAAUUUGAUCUCUGCCUCCUAACUAAG
rnacentral:misc_RNA from 1 species